rnacentral:rRNA from 1 species
GUGUCAGCAGCCGCGGUAAUACGGAGGGGGCUAGCGUUGUUCGGAAUUACUGGGCGUAAAGCGUACGUAGGCGGCUUUGUAAGUUAGAGGUGAAAGCCCGGGGCUUAACCCCGGAAUUGCCUUUAAGACUGCAUCGCUUGAAUCAUGGAGAGGUGAGUGGAAUUCCGAGUGUAGAGGUGAAAUUCGUAGAUAUUCGGAAGAACACCAGUGGCGAAGGCGACUCACUGGACAUGUAUUGACGCUGAGGUACGAAAGCGUGGGGAGCAAACAGGAUUAGAUACCCCGGUAGUCC